AAUUGUCACACAGGUUCCCAUAGAAGAAAUGGUUUCCAGAAUGCAGAAGUGGGCCAUGAUGCCAGAUGUUGCAGAAAGAGCAAAUAAGGGGAUAGAACAGGAAGACAUAAGCACCGGCAUGGGCCUAUUCCACAGCCAAGGCAGGGAGAACAUCCCAGGGCAGAAAGGAAAGCCUAAAGCUACAGCCUGUUCCUCUAGUUCUUAGAACAGCUGGUUACUGAGCUCUCAG